ACAUUAUUCUGUGUACAGUGUUUCAGCCUGCGUGAAGAUGAGGGCGACUAUCUGCUGCUGCCUGUUGGCCUUUGUUCUGAGCUUUAAUGUCACCGCAGGAAUAAAUCAUGUAGUAGUCGAGGAGAAGAGCUUUGUCUUUCUGCCAUGUCCUCACCCUGCGGAGGGUAAAGUGACGUGGAGCAGAGAGAGAAACGGAAACAGAGUUGACAUAUUUAUAAUUGAUGGUGACGGAGAAAUAAGACACAAUGAUCCCGACAGACGAUACAAUUCAGUGGGAGAUAAAUUUAUGUCACUUGUCAUUAGCAGAGUUAAUCUCUCGGACACUGGAAGAUACCUGUGUAAUAAUGAACCAGCUGUGGAGCUGAUGGUGAUCAAACCAGGAGAAACAGCCAGACUCACUGUUGUAGAAAGAACCAACAUCACUCUGAAUUGUCCCUCUGCUGUUUCUGGGUCAAGAGAUCCAACAUGGACCAGAGAAAACCGUGGAACAAACAUCACUGUUUCCAGUCAAAAUGAGAUGGAUAAGCACGCUCGAUAUUCAACCACGGAAGAGACGCUGACUAUAACAGACGUGCAGCCUGAUGACGCUGGACUGUACUACUGUGAUGAAAACCAGUUGUGCAUCUGAAUGUGACCAAAGAUGAGCAGUCUGAGAAAGUUUACUUUGUGCCUCUGGUUGUUUGUGUGGUUCUGAUUGUCCUGCUGUUGGCUGGUUUUCUGCUGCUGCUCUUCAAAUGGAUGAAAAACAGAAACCUCAGAUCUUCAAAAAGCAGAAAUGUGGAGUUAUCUGUCGCCUCCAAGAACAGGACUCCAGUCUCCACUGGUGAAGACUCCACUUACCAGAGCCUCGAUCCUGCCAGCAGGGACCAGGACCAGAUCUACUCCUCACUCACUUAACCUUACAUAACUCCCAGAAAACCACAAAUAGUUGAAUCCUCACACAAACACAAAGUGAGCUUUAAAGGGCUUGAUAGGUUUUUAUGCUAAGCUACCUGUUGAACACCGACACCCCCGGUACCGGGUGCAGCACGCGAUCGUCAAAACUGCUGACUUUUACGAUUUUUGCCGUUAUUUUUAAAAAUAUCUCCGGGCGCCAACUUGAUUAUUGUGCAAUACCCGGGAGCUGUGCCUGCCUUCUCUCGCCUUUUUCUACAGAACAGGAAAAGUGCCGCUUUAAAACACACGGUCUUUUUGCGGCCUGGUAGCCGACUUGUAGGAGCUACAUAGAUGUUUUGUUAUUUGGAACUUGAUUGUAUGGACAGAAAUAGUGUUUUAAAGAUAACUCCCAAUAAAAGUCAACAUCUAAACAGUAAAUGUUGCCAAAAUAUAGACAUUCACCUGGUAUAUUUUGAAUAUAUUGUAUGAUAACUGUUGUAUUUUAGUUUAUUUUCAUAAAAUUUACAGUUACAAUUGCA